UCAAUACCUCUUCCCCAUCCUUCCCCAUACUUCUUCAACUCACGUUGAUACAACCUAGGAGCUACAUGUAUCACCUGGCUAGGUAGAGUUACGAUUACUGCUCAAAGAAAAGUAGAGUUAUGAUUCCUAUACUACUUGGACAAGCAAUCGUUGGUGAACUCUAACAAUCUGUGAGAUCUGUGGGCAACCAAAAGAGAGAACUAGCAAGGCUGGUGAGUUCUCUUUCACUAUUUUAUCUAGAUUCAUCGUGCUAAUUUAAGUAGUUCUAAGCUAUCAUGUAAAUGUAACAUAACUAUUUUAAAGGUUAUCGAUAUAAUCCAUGUUUUGCUUUUCCAUUUUUAGCAAAUAGAGCGGAUUCUGAAAUCACAUAUUUGAAUUAGCUUUUGGUCGGUCGACUUGAGUAGUAAUUCCUUUUAUUAUCCCAGUUGUUAUUUCUACCUUGCUCUGCUGUAUAAGAUAACUCCAUAUAGGAGGUCAAGCUUGAAAAAUGUAUAAUACCCGACUUGUCGAGAAUCAUGUUAAUAAAGCUGUCAUGAUAUUUUCCCUGCUUCAAAGUGCUCCCUGAGGUAUUAGUUAACGGUAGUCUGUAUUGAUUUUUUUGUACAGAAUUUGACCAUUUGUGCAGGCUUUGGUUCGUGAUGGAUCGACCUUAAAGUCUUAAUGAUUACCCUUUCCAACAAGCAACAGUGGGGUUGUUCUGCUCAAUCCUGCUAUUUUUUUAGUCCAAUAAUUUGUAUGUGUUCUUCGCCUCAGAGAUUUUAUUAAUUUCGGUUGGGUUCUAAUUAGAGAUGCAUAUAAAUAACUUUGUUCUGGUUUUCAUAAAAGUAAUAUGGCACACACCUAGAAGGUUAUUGAUUAUACGCUGCAACCCAUUUUAUUAAGUUGGGUUUUCUUGACACCAUUUUCUAUUGCAGGCUACUGAAUAUAUAUAGUUCUUGCAAGAGAACUAACAUAAGUGUAUUUCGGUGAGGCACCAGAUACAACAUCUCACUUUCCGUUUUGGAAAUUAUCUUUAUUUAACUCCAAGAGGUCACCAGCUGAAGGCUGUGUUUGGCAAUGGAAUAGUAAUUUGGCUGCUGAGGUAUCAAGUUUGUAACCAGUCUUCUGGAUCAGAGUAACUGAAAGUUGAUGUGUAAUAUUAGGGCUGUGAUUGCAGUGUAUCAAAUGGGCUAAUUUUUAUAUUUGACUCAUCACAUAUAAAAUUUGUAUUUUUUAAAAUCAGGAACAAAUAUAGUUUAAGUAUUUUGAAGUGAGAUGUGCUUUUUCAGUUGUUUGCCACAUGGUUUGUUUCAGGAUGGGAUAAUGAAUUGGUAAAUAUCACUUUCCUUUGUUGGUACCAAUACCAAUGCCACCAAGUGCAGUCAUAUUGACGACAGUCAAAUAGCCUUGCAGAAUGGACAAUGUUCAAAGAUAGCAAGCAUUAUGUCGUGUCUAGAUAUGAGUGGAAAACGUGCUACGUGUGUACUGCUACUACACCAGCCCAAGUACUUAUGUACAGUUCCUCCUGAAUUCAGACACUAAGAAGCUAAGCUUUUGCAAAUGAAUCUACUUAUCCAAGAGGCUGGCAACAAGAUCGGAUGUUCAAUAACUAGAGGAGCAACACUCGAUCGACAGGAAACUAUGAGCAUGCAUAUCAUCAAGUUUGCCGGUUCUACAUUUUAAACCUUAGCCAACUACCCACUUUCUAAUUUUCUUGCAUGCAGCGAAUUGACUUCCCAAAGAACUACAUAGAAGGGAUAUAUGUUUGAUUUGUUUUGAAUUGAUUGCAAGAAAUACAUGUAUGGCACAUACAACUCUAUUCUCAAAACAUAUAUGAAUGAAAAUUUAUUUGAUUUUUUUA